rnacentral:rRNA from 1 species
GGCUCAGGACGAACGCUGGCGGCGUGCCUAACACAUGCAAGUCGAGCGAUGAAAUCCUUCGGGAUGGAUUAGCGGCGGACGGGUGAGUAACACGUGGGUAACCUGCCUUGUAGAGGGGGAUAGCCUUCCGAAAGGAAGAUUAAUACCGCAUAACAUCUUUUUAUCGCAUGGUAGAAAGAUCAAAGGAGCAAUCCGCUACAAGAUGGACCCGCGGCGCAUUAGCUAGUUGGUGAGGUAACGGCUCACCGAGGCGACGAUGCGUAGCCGACCUGAGAGGAUGAUCGGCCACAUUGGAACUGAGACACGGUCCAGACUCCUACGGGAGGCAGCAGUGGGGAAUAUUGCGCAAUGGGGGAAACCCUGACGCAGCAACGCCGCGUGAAUGAAGAAGGCCUUAGGGUUGUAGAGUUCUGUUUACGGGGACGAUAAUGACGGUACCCGUGGAGGAAGCCACGGCUAACUACGUGCCAGCAGCGGC